rnacentral:rRNA from 1 species
GACGAACGCUGGCGGCGUGCUUAACACAUGCAAGUCGAACGGAAAGGCCCUGCUUUUGUGGGGUGCUCGAGUGGCGAACGGGUGAGUAACACGUGAGUAACCUGCCCUUGACUUUGGGAUAACUUCAGGAAACUGGGGCUAAUACCGGAUAGGAGCUCCUGCUGCAUGGUGGGGGUUGGAAAGUUUCGGCGGUUGGGGAUGGACUCGCGGCUUAUCAGCUUGUUGGUGGGGUAGUGGCUUACCAAGGCUUUGACGGGUAGCCGGCCUGAGAGGGUGACCGGCCACAAUGGGACUGAGGUACGGCCCAGACUCCUACGGGAGGCAGCAGUGGGGAAUAUUGCACAAUGGGCGGAAGCCUGAUGCAGCAACGCCGCGUGCGGGAUGACGGCCUUCUGGUUGUAAACCGCUUUCGCCUGUGACGAAGCGUGAGUGACGGUAAUGGGUAAAGAAGCACCGGCUAACUACGUG